CUGUCUGUCGAUACUGUAAUUUGAAACCCAUUUGGGCGAGAUUAGUACUAGGACGGGUGACCUCCUGGGAAGUCCUCGUGAAAGAGUUU
rnacentral:rRNA from 1 species